GGCGGGUCUCCCCGCAUUGUACAGUGGUGAAUCGGGUCAGGUCUGGAAAGAAGCAGCCACAGCCACAUCGUACAAGUGCCGGGGGUUAGGCUCGCCACC
rnacentral:SRP_RNA from 4 species